UCCAGGGAGUCGCGCCGGCCGCCGGCGACGGAAGGCGUCGGCGAGCUUGGCAGCGUCCAGAGGCCAGGCCCUGGCGAGGACUCCAAAAGCGGCAGCAUUGAUGCUCCACGCUUAAACGGGAGCGGGGUGCCACCGAAGGCGAUCAGGAAGCAGGGUAGCUUCGGCAGUACAUCCUCGCCCGCUUC
rnacentral:rRNA from 1 species